UGUGGUCAGGCAGGAGGGGCCCUGGCCCUGGGCAGCCCCUCAGGGACCCGAGCAGGGGGUGUACGUACGUGAUCAGGAUGGACUGGUUCUCCCGAUCUGGGGAAGAGACAGAAAUACAAUACUUAAAAGUCAAUGAACAACAGAGAAAGAAUGAAACAUGGUUAGUCUUGACAGUGACUUUCCCUGAUUCCCUGCUCUGGAUUGUCCCUUUCACAAAGGAUUCCUUUGCAUGUACCACAAAGACAGAUGACUUGGCAUCGAAAGGCUUGUUCUGAGCCUCAAUUCUCUCCUUCUCUGACUUCCGGAGGUCUGGACUCCACUAGAGGUGAAUGCAAAGCAGAGCAGUCAGAAGAGAAGAGGCAGAACAAGGAUAGACUGGCUACAGGCAGAGCAACAAGGUUUGGGCAAGGCUCUGUGGUGCUGACAUUCCCAUGGAAGAGGAAGGAUUUUGUUGGGCUGAAAAUAAAUCCUUCUUCA